GACGAACGCUGUCGGCGUGCUUAACACAUGCAAGUCGAACGGAAAGGCCCUGCUUUUGUGGGGUGCUCGAGUGGCGAACGGGUGAGUAACACGUGAGUAACCUGCCCUUGACUUUGGGAUAACUUCAGGAAACUGGGGCUAAUACCGGAUAGGAGCUCCUGCUGCAUGGUGGGGGUUGGAAAGUUUCGGCGGUUGGGGAUGGACUCGCGGCUUAUCAGCUUGUUGGUGGGGUAGUGGCUUACCAAGGCUUUGACGGGUAGCCGGCCUGAGAGGGUGACCGGCCACAUUGGGACUGAGAUACGGCCCAGACUCCUACGGGAGGCAGCAGUGGGGAAUAUUGCACAAUGGGCGGAAGCCUGAUGCAGCAACGCCGCGUGCGGGAUGACGGCCUUCGGGUUGUAAACCGCUUUCGCCUGUGACGAAGCGUGAGUGACGGUAAUGGGUAAAGAAGCACCGGCUAACUACGUGCCAGCAGCCGCGGUGAUACGUAGGGUGCGAGCGUUGUCCGGAUUUAUUGGGCGUAAAGGGCUCGUAGGUGGUUGAUCGCGUCGGAAGUGUAAUCUUGGGGCUUAACCCUGAGCGUGCUUUCGAUACGGGUUGACUUGAGGAAGGUAGGGGAGAAUGGAAUUCCUGGUGGAGCGGUGGAAUGCGCAGAUAUCAGGAGGAACACCAGUGGCGAAGGCGGUUCUCUGGGCCUUUCCUGACGCUGAGGAGCGAAAGCGUGGGGAGCGAACAGGCUUAGAUACCCUGGUAGUCCACGCUGUAAACGGUGGGUACUAGGUGUGGGGUCCAUUCCACGGGUUCCGUGCCGUAGCUAACGCUUUAAGUACCCCGCCUGGGGAGUACGGCCGCAAGGCUAAAACUCAAAGGAAUUGACGGGGCCCCGCACAAGCGGCGGAGCAUGCGGAUUAAUUCGAUGCAACGCGUAGAACCUUACCUGGGUUUGACAUGGAUCGGGAGUGCUCAGAGAUGGGUGUGCCUCUUUUGGGGUCGGUUCACAGGUGGUGCAUGGCUGUCGUCAGCUCGUGUCGUGAGAUGUUGGGUUAAGUCCCGCAACGAGCGCAACCCUUGUUCACUGUUGCCAGCACGUUAUGGUGGGGACUCAGUGGAGACCGCCGGGGUCAACUCGGAGGAAGGUGGGGAUGACGUCAAGUCAUCAUGCCCCUUAUGUCCAGGGCUUCACGCAUGCUACAAUGGCUGGUACAGAGAGUGGCGAGCCUGUGAGGGUGAGCGAAUCUCGGAAAGCCGGUCUCAGUUCGGAUUGGGGUCUGCAACUCGACCUCAUGAAGUCGGAGUCGCUAGUAAUCGCAGAUCAGCAACGCUGCGGCGAAUACGUUCCCGGG
rnacentral:rRNA from 1 species